AUGGAAUCCAGAUGGGUUAUACCGCUUGUGGUUAUUUUGCUUGCAUUGCAAAUUCACCCCGUUCGCUGUCGGCAAGAGCCAGCGCUUUCACCGUGUAACUCCACACUUGUUAUUGCCAAGUACCCCUGUGAUAACACCACCAUAGUUUGCUCCCGAAUGGAAUCCACGAAGGACCAGCUUGUCCCUUGGCUAUCUUUCACCGUGUCCUUCGUAAUAUUAUUCUGCCCAUUCUUGCGUAUCAAAGAGUUGAAGGCCAAUCCACGAACUGAUGCGCAAACCUUCUUUUGGUGGUUUUUGUUUGUUGGUUUUCUGGAUUAUAUUCUCUGGAUCUGGUAUUUUGAGGAAUGCUCUGAUCCACAUUAUUCAGCAUAUCCUGUGUUACUGACCUGCUGUUUUGGGUGCGGUAUACACCUGAUCUUCUCUCUUAUAGCUACAGUGAUGACUUGGAAUUCUGGGGAUCAGCGAGUACGAUGGGGCAUUAUACUUACAUUCUUGGUCUUUGUCGGUGGUGGAAUUUUUCAUAAAAUACAAAGACAAGCCCUUGGCUGGAUGGGAGUAGCACUAAGUGUACUGUCUCAUUCUUUCCGUAUUGGAUCCACGGUGUACUACGCCAAGAUUAAUCGGUGUCUGUUUGUUGCCUCCAUGGUGGGGUCAGUAAAUGGAUUCUUGUGGCUUAUCCAUCCUCAGCUAUGCAUUUCAAAGGAAUACAAGAAUUAUGUCGCCAUCUCCUUGAUGGUAACCGGUGACCCCCAACUUCGUGGCGUAUUAAGAUGA
rnacentral:rRNA from 1 species